GAGUUUGAUCGUGGCUCAGAGUGAACGCUGGCGGUAGGCCUAACACAUGCAAGUCGAACGGUAACAGGUCUUUCGGGAUGCUGACGAGUGGCGGACGGGUGAGGAAUACAUCGGGAUCUGCUCAGUCGUGGGGGAUAACGCAUGGAAACGUGCGCUAAUACCGCAUACGACCUUCGGGUGAAAGCAGGGGAAUCUUUAGGGAUCCUUGCGCGAUUGAAUGAGCCGAUGUCGGAUUAGCUAGUUGGUAGGGUAAAAGCCUACCAAGGCGACGAUCCGUAGCUGGUCUGAGAGGAUGAUCAGCCACACUGGGACUGAGACACGGCCCAGACUCCUGCGGGAGGCAGCAGUGGGGAAUAUUGGACAAUGGGGGCAACCCUGAUCCAGCCAUACCGCGUGGGUGAAGAAGGCCUUCUGGGUUGUAAAGCCCUUUUGUUGGGGAAGAAAAACAACGGGUUAAUACCCCGUUGGUAUGACGGUACCCAAAGAAUAAGCACCGGCUAACUUCGUGCCAGCAGCCGCGGUAAUACGAAGGGUGCAAGCGUUACUCGGAAUUACUGGGCGUAAAGGGUGCGUAGGUGGUUGCGCCAGUCUGUCGUGAAAGCCCUGGGCUUAACCUGGGAAUGGCGAUGGAAACUGUGCAACUAGAGUGUGACAGAGGGUGGUGGAAUUCCUGGUGUAGCAGUGAAAUGCGUAGAGAUCAGGAGGAACAUUCGUGGCGAAGGCGGCCACCUGGGUCAACACUGACACUGAGGCACGAAAGCGUGGGGAGCAAACAGGAUUAGAUACCCUGGUAGUCCACGCCCUAAACGAUGCGAACUGGAUGUUGGGUCCAACUUGGGAUUCAGUAUCGAAGCUAACGCGUUAAGUUCGCCGCCUGGGGAGUACGGUCGCAAGACUGAAACUCAAAGGAAUUGACGGGGGCCCGCACAAGCGGUGGAGUAUGUGGUUUAAUUCGAUGCAACGCGCAGAACCUUACCUGGCCUUGACAUGCACGGGAGUCUUUAGAGAUAGAG
rnacentral:rRNA from 1 species